CUCAUCAUCAGAUGACUAUGAUGAUAUACCCGACGCUAUUAGCACUGCGAUCAUUGUGGUCAUUGUAAUCAGCGUCCUCAUCCUGCUUGGUAUUGUUGGUGGCAUUAUAGCAUGUUGUGUGUGUGGCGGCUGCUGCUGCGCUCAAGAAACCACGACCACUAGCCCGGUGACUACAUUCGUAGCCACACAACAAACCCAGCCUGCUCCGGCAGUUGUUCAACAGUCACACUUCACUCCGCCGUUCUCCAAUCCCCUACAACAGCAGG